GUACCAAGCAGCUGUGCACACGUUCCUGGAGCAGCUUGCACACAGCUCGCAGGAUCCAGGAUGGACAAAAAGGACCCUGUCCUUCAAAUAUUGGGGAUCUGUUCUCUGAUCACUGAUUGGUGCUUCUGAUCAGAGAGUACAAACAAACAGG